GCGCGGGUGGCGAAAUGGCAGACGCACUACCUUGAGGUGGUAGCGCCCGCAAGGGCAUGGAGGUUCAAGUCCUCUCCCGCGCACCA
rnacentral:tRNA from 1 species